CCUAACCUAAAUCAUUCUCACCAACCCGCCACCCUUGAAUCCUCUUCCUCCCUAUUUAUCUCUGCAACUUCACUCAAACCCUAGCAGCCGCCACCUAAAUCCACCCUAAUUCCCUUCAAUCCCCACCCAAUCCAUGGACUCCCAUGGCUGUUUGACACGUUUACUUGUCUUUUACGUCCCCUGGUGGCCCGCUUGUGUGAUUUCAUGGACAGAUCUCGAAGAGAUUUGAUCCAGUCCUUGCUCAACUCCUAUCCAUGGCCUCUUUCCAGCCAUCCAUGGCUGUUCGAGUCAGAUCCUUGACUUUUCCGGCUAGAUCGGUAACUUUUCGAAGUCUUUCUCAUCUUUCUGGGUUAUCUGAAACCCUAACUUCAAAGGCUUUCCGAUUUUCUUUCAGAUCCGUCUUAGGUAUGUGUAUGUUAUGAACCUCUCAAAUGUUUUCCUUAAAGGUUUUUCGAUUUUUUUCUUCAAAAAAUGACUCUUCGUCUUCAACGAUUAGGGUUUCACAACAUCUUUUAAAAGAUCUCUUCAGUGUUGUUUUAUGAUUUUACUAUGUUUAAACGGUUUGUUCAUGUUUUUCUUCUACCUGGUUCAUUGUGUUAAAACCCUAGGUAUUUUUGGUUUUAUCCGGGUUUUGAAGUUGUCUUUGUUUGUUUGUAAGUAUACUUGUUUCGAUUAAGUUCUUUAUGCUUGGAUCCUCCUCUUUGUUGACUUAUCCAUAGUUCUUACCAUUUUAAACUCGAUUAUUGUUAAAACCCUUUCUUGAAAGGUUUUCCUCACUCAUUACUGUGAGUUUAAAGGGUUCUUUACUUGUUUCUAACCUUCUUACCUGUUGGUUUGGUUUCUCACUCUGGUUCUAUGUGACUACUUGACUUUGAUAACUACCAUGCUUCGAGUAGGUUCUUUUACUACUGAGUCCUAGACUACUGCUGCUACUACUGUAUAUUUGUGUUGUUGCUUUUGUCAGUGUGGUUGGCCUUGCAUGUAUGAUACUCUUGUUCAUUCUUCUCUAUUUACAUGGCAAAGUACAGAAUCAUGAUUCUUUCUUGAUUGAUCUUGAUUUCCUCAAGUUACGACUGAUUGCAAAAGUUUUCUUAUAAACCCCUAAUUCUACCCGUUUGUUUGAGUUGAUUGAUUCUUUUACUUUAUUUGCUGUGAUGUUGUACCCCUGCUGAAUCCUUUCCCCAAUUAAGUAUAUUUUGUACUUAGACUCAAUUAUUUACUCUAUACUUUUAAUAUCCCCUAUAUGGUCAGAAAUCAAUCUUUCUCAAAUUGGUUUUCUUUCCUUAAUUAUUCCUAUCAGUAUCCAUUUGAACAGUAAUUCCUUGAUUAAAGAAAAGUACUUGUAUUAAUUGAUUCUGAUUGUGAUUAUUUUCAUAUUUGUGUUAAAACUUUACUUGUUACCUUAUUUUCUACUCGUUUUCAAAACUAUAAAUACCCUAUCCUCUCUUCUCUAAAGGCACGAACAACUGAUUUCAAAAACACACACUUACACAUUCAAACUCUCUUUUUUUCUCUACUACUUGUGCUACUGCCUUGUCUAGCCGGCUGAAAGCCAAGGCUAGGCUUUGGAACUCUAAUUGCUUUACUUUUCUGCACUUUGCUCCUUCAACUGGUAUGUUCUUAAUUUAAAUUAUGAAACUCAACACCUAUGUGUUCCCUUGUUGUCAAUCACUGUCUUUUUCUGUACUAACUUAAUGGCUCGUGCUGUUUUGUUGUACUGUUUGUUUAUUGCUUUACUCAGCAUGCUUAAACUUCUGCUCUUCCCUGUUCAAAUGUGAUCAGCAUAUUUACUUGUUCCUGUUUAUGUCCUUCAACUAGCAUGUCUAUAAUGUACCUAAUUCAUGACUAAUUGUGUGUUUCUGAUUUGGGUCCUCUAUGUCCCCAACACCUACUCCCCUGUUUUUAACUGCUGAAGCAUGUAAUUCUCUCUGAACUGGGUUCUGUGUGUGUUGUUGUUGCUCCUACCCCCUUUCCCUUUUCAAAAACUAUUUUAUUAGUAAAUUCUUCUGUUAUUUUACCAAACUCACUUCAAGCAUGUUGUUUCUAAAAUUAUUUUCCAACUCAACUCCUUUGAGUCUAUGUCAAGCACUCUCACAUAUACUCUUAGAAUACUAGGUUCUACCCCUCUUGUGUGAGCCUUGCCUUGGGACCCCUGAGCUCCCUCUGAACUUUGACACAUAAGAGCUGGCCUUUCGACACUGCACUUACUCUUGGUUAUGCAAUCUGGGUGUGAGCAUUGCCCGAGAUCCCUUGAAUUCCUUAGGGAACUCUGACACACCCAGACAUGAGAAAGGUUUUUUGGAACAACAUUGGCAUUGAAGUGGUUUAUUACAUAACUUAGAGAGGAAGUCAGGAUUAGGCUUCCUAUGGUUGUAACUUCUUAUUUUGUGCAUUUUGUCUUAUGUAAUUCAAUCAUUCGGUCUAUAAUAAUUUGUAAACAACUCUGGGGAUAGAUAGUGCAAAGGGAAGGGGUGACUAUGCAUGCUCUAACUAUCAAAAGGAGUAGAAAAUAUGUUAUUAGGUUUAUAUUCCUACUUGCGCAAUAGAAACCAUGCUUAGGACUCAUUUCAUACAUUAGAGAUCAUGUUCCCUUAGGACUUACGCUUAUUGUUUUCAGCAUGUCCAUUUCACUAUCAUAUCACUUGUAAAACCCUCCAUUAAUUGUGUUAAUAACCGGUAUUUCUGUGAUCAUGUUCUUAUUGCUAUGCACACUUAGAGAUCCUGUUUUAGGCUUAAACAACACUAACAAACAUAUCAUUUCUGCAUAUCCUAGAAAUCAUGUUUAAAUGUUGUAAUAUUUGUGCAUAUAGAAAUCCUACUUAGGAUUCUGCAUCAUUCUGCAUCUCUGUACAUUAGAUACCAUGUCUUUAGGAUUUCAUUUUAUAUUCGCUUAAUCUCGCUUGGGCUAACUAUGAAUUCAAAAAAGGAAUAAAAUAAUUUUACUCAGUUUUUACAAUCAACUGGCAAUAAUUCUAUGUGCUGAACACCUAUAACAACAGGUUUUUUAGGUAAUAAAAACCAUCUUAAUAAUUCGGAACAACUACUGCCUUGUUUUGCGCCUAGGAAAGCCUUAGGUAAUAACCUGAAUAAAAUGGGAACUGCCUUUGUUUAAUUAUCAACUACUACAACCAGCAGCCAGGCCUGAUUCAGACUUCUUUUCUGAGUUAUAUAAUGAAUCUGGUUCUGAAUUAAACACCAUGCUUAGGAUUUUAAAAUCAGACCUUAAAUAUGUAUAAGUCGUGCCGUCUAUGUGCAUUGUUUGCGGAGGUAUAACUAAGCCUGCUAUUUGCUUAUAUGUUUCCCCCUUAAUUGCGGUCUUAUAUGUUUUGUAUAUCGCUUUAGCAUUUUUACCUUUAAACCUGAGGGUUGCCUACAACCUCUUUCUUAUAGGAAUAGGCAUCCUAAAAUUCCUCCGGGACUGAUAGGAAGGGACGGGUAGCAGCAUGCAAUAAGAGUCGAGACCAAUCAUCACUCUAAUUACCUUCACAUGAUGGGAAAGGGUAGAUAUGGAUAUGAUGACUGGUGCGCUAAUACCACGUGUAUCCCCUCUUCUAAGGAGUGUCAUACCGGGUAUUGCAUUGAUGUGAUCCAUAUUACGAACAAACCUAGGACACCCUCUUUUAUUUUUAUAAGUACGCUUAGAUUAUAACUCUUUCAAAAUCUAGCCUUUCAAUAAUUGUUUCCAAACAAUUGUGCAUUUAAACUUAAAUCCCCUCUUAUUUAAGCCUUACUUGUUUAUUUGCUAAUUGCAUAAAUUCACAAAAACUGUCUGGCCGGGAACCACACUAGUGGAUCCUGAGGGGUGCUUAACCCCUUCCCCUUAGGAUAAUUUCAAGCCCUUACCCUAUCUCUGGUUAUCAAACAUAGUUGUAGUUGAACCUUAUAGGUGCCCUAACGCACCUUAAAAACCGUUAGCUGGCGACUCUUCAAGUACCCAAUUCCCAAAAGGAAAUGAGUCAUCACACCCGAUGAAUGUCGAAACCCGGACUCCUCCCCGCGAAAGGGAAAAAAGGGGGACGGCGACAGCAUGACAANNNNNNNNNNNNNNNNNNNNNNNNNGUUUAAAUUUCUUUAAGCAUUUAAUUUCUUUUUCAAAAGCCAAACUGACGUAUCUUCCUUGUUUCUUUCCUUUAUUAUUGCUUUAAAUUGUAAAACUGUUGUAUUUAUCGCUUUCUUAACGUGCAAAUACAUGUCAACAUGCUUUUAAUUAUUGCAUUAUCAUGCUCAACAUCAUACUCCACUCAUUCCAAACAAAUACUAUAGCAACGCUUUAAUGAGUGGUUGUGCCCUUCCUAUAUCAUUACCCCUAAAUUCGGAAAGGCAUAUUUGUGGUAAAACUAGUCGAUCAGUAGUGUAAUCGACAGUUCCGUGCCUUCCCCCUUGAGUUGUCCGCUUAAGGGUACCCGUCUAAAACCUUAUAGAAAAUUUGCUCUGUUCAAAUUGUGCAUGCAUCAUGGUCAAACCUAGUCGGGUCAGUUAUGUUGUCCACAUAAUGAUUCUUUAAGAUAGCGUUGUCCAAAAGCCCACUGGGUUUCCCUAAACCCAAACAGACAUCAUCACAUUCUAUGCAUUUAUUUGGAGAACUAAAUACUUCAUGCUAAUUGUUGAUAUUAAAUAGCCGAGUUUGGUGGGGGUAAGGGCCUAACCUUAUUUAACUUGCAGAAAAUGAAGCACGAGGUCUCCAGUUUCGGUAUGAUUAGCAUGCCCCCACUCUUGAUAGACUGGUGGAGGAGUCUUCCGUCAAAUGACCAAAUCAAUGAGUGGAAACAGAGGGCCGUCAAGCUAGCGAGAAGUUGGAAUAUCUGGAAUACAGCUUGCGGGAAUUGGAAGGAAAAGUGAGGAAGAGAGUCGCCGAUUGCCAAGACGCUGAGGGAAAUGAAGGAGAACAUUUAGAAAAGGCAUUUUUACUGGUGAACCUACGCGAACUGGAGGAUUUGAUCAAUGAGAACGUUCAACCUGAGGAAAGUCCUUCUAGCACCAAAUAGAUAGGAAUUUACUUUUUUGCUUUAUGAAUGUAAUAAGGCCAAUGACCAUUAGUGACUUUUAUUUCUUGUUUAUUUAGUGUCAUUUUGGGAUUCGCC
rnacentral:lncRNA from 1 species